GAUGAACGCUGGCGGAAUGCUUAACACAUGCGAGUCGACCUGAAUUUGGGUUUUUUACUUAGGUUGGGGUGGGGGACGGGUGUGUAAGGCGUAAAGAACUUGCAUCCCAGCUUAGGAUAACCUUUGCAAACGAAUGCUAAUACCUAAUAUUAGGAUAAUAGGGCAUCCUAUAAUUAUGAAAGCUAUAAGCGCUGUGAGAGAGCUUUGCGUCCCAUUAGCUAGUUGGAGAGGUAACGGCUCACCAAGGCGAUGAUGGGUAGCCGGCCUGAGAGGGUGAUCGGCCACAAGGGGACUGAGACACGGCAGCUACGGCGACGGGAGGCAGAAGUGCGGAAGAUUGGAGAAGGGACCGAGAGUGUGAUACAGCAAUUCUGUGUGCACGAUGAACUUUUUCGGAAGGGAAAGUGCUUUCAGUUGGGAAGAAGUAAAUGACGGUACCAACAGAAGAAGUGACGGCUAAAUACGUG
rnacentral:rRNA from 1 species